rnacentral:rRNA from 1 species
AGUGAACGCUGGCGGUAGGCCUAACACAUGCAAGUCGAACGGCAGCACAGUAAGAGCUUGCUCUUACGGGUGGCGAGUGGCGGACGGGUGAGGAAUACAUCGGAAUCUACUUUUUCGUGGGGGAUAACGUAGGGAAACUUACGCUAAUACCGCAUACGACCUACGGGUGAAAGCAGGGGAUCUUCGGACCUUGCGCGAUUGAAUGAGCCGAUGUCGGAUUAGCUAGUUGGCGGGGUAAAGGCCCACCAAGGCGACGAUCCGUAGCUGGUCUGAGAGGAUGAUCAGCUACACUGGAACUGAGACACGGUCCAGACUCCUACGGGAGGAAGCAGUGGGGAAUAUUGGACAAUGGGCGAAAGCCUGAUCCAGCCAUACCGCGUGAGUGAAGAAGGCCUUCGGGUUGUAAAGCCCUUUUGUUGGGAAAGAAAAGCAGCAGGUUAAUACCCCGCUGUUCUGACGGUACCCAAAGAAUAAGCACCGGCUAACUUCGUG